rnacentral:rRNA from 1 species
UCUGCCCNCUGAUAAUUAUUAAAGGGCUGCAGUAAUUUGACUGUACAAAGGUAGCAUAAUCAAUAGUCUUUUAAUUGAAGACUUGUAUGAAAGAUUUGAUGAAAUAUAAACUGUCUCUUAAUUAUAAUUAAAACUUAAUUUUUUAGUUAAAAAGCUAAAAUAAUUUUAAAAGACGAGAAGACCCUAUAGAGUUUUAUAAUUUUUNUUUUUAAAUAUUUAUAUAAAUUUUUAAUUUUUAAGAAUAAAAAUUAUUUUAUUGGGGUGAUAAAAAAAUUAAAAAAACUUUUUUUUUUUUUUACAUUGAUAAUUGAAUAAUUGAUCCUUUAUUUAAGAUUAUAAGAAUAAAUUACCUUAGGGAUAACAGCGUAAUAUUUUUUUUUAGUACGAAUAAAAAAAAAAGUUUGCGACCUCGAUGUUGGAUUAAGAUAAAAUUUAAAUGCAAAAGUUAAAAUUU